GAUAUGUAUGUGAAUUGCAGAUUUUCAGUGAAUCAUCGAAUCUUUGAACGCACCUUGCGCUCCUUGGUAUUCCGAGGAGCAUGCCUGUUUGAGUGUCAU
rnacentral:rRNA from 1 species